GAUGAACGCUGGCGGCGUGCCUAAUCCAUGCAAGUCGAGCGAAGCGGGGACGGGUGAGUAACACGUGGAUAACCUCCUAUAAGACUGGGAUAACUUCGGGAAACCGGAGCUAAACCGGAUACUUAUGAAUGGAUCCGCGCUGCAUUAGCUAGUUGGGAAGUUAACGGCUUACACAUGCAACGAUGCCUAGCCGACCUCACAGGGUGAGCGGCCACACUGGAACUGAGACACGGUCCAGACUCCUCCGGUAGGCAGCAGUAGGGAAUCUUCCGCAAUGGGCGAAAGCCUGACGGAGCAACGCCGCGUGAGUGAUGAAGGUUUUCGGAUCGUAAAACUCUGUUAUUAGGGAAGCGGUACCUAAUCAGAAAGCCACGGCUAACUACGUGCCAGCAGCCGCGGUAAUAC
rnacentral:rRNA from 1 species